rnacentral:misc_RNA from 1 species
AGGGCUCCUCGUAAGAUGAAUCGUGAGGAGUUGAGCCACAUUCGUGAUCGGCUCAUUUUCCUUACAGAGUGUUCGGCAACUCAGAAACCUCAGAACAUCAAGAGAAAAUCUUCUUCUUCAAUUAAAAGUCGGAGCAAAGAUGGAUCGAAAGAGGGACCCAAAUGGACUAUGCAAGAUUUUGUUCGGAGAGACCCGAGUUAUACUACUGACAUUGAGCAUUUGGUGUUUCCUGGAAGAAGGAGAAGUUCACAGACCAGCACGACCAGCUCUUCCAAAACGAGGUCUAGGUUAGCCGAGAUGUUUGCUUUAAGUCGACAUCUUCAGCAGAGGUCUGUCGAGAGAGAGUUUAAGACCCGGAAUCCCCUUGUCAACCGAAGUAUCGAUAGUGCCAUUGAAAGCGGUCGAUCUCAUCCUCAAAAGCAAAAGUCUUCGUCGGUUGUUGCAGCACGUCUUGCAGAUCAAGGCCUUGCAAUGGUACCGCCUUCUUCUUCAGCUGCCCGAUCGUGGGCCGCGCCCGAGAAGCAAUCGUCGUCUCAACCGGUCCGCCAAGGCUCCGUUGUUUCCGCGGCCGGACCAGCGGGCGCCGGCUUCAUGGGCACUUCUAGACCCAGUGCAAAGUCGUCAUCGGUCGAAGUCGACAUGACGAGCGCGAGAGGCCCAAAUGUGUCAAUAGUUCAUUUGAGAAAUACGUCGGACCGUUGGGAUUCCCUGUCAAAAAUUAGUCCAAAUGCUUCCAAACCGCACAAAUCUUCUCGUAGUCCAAAGCAAAACGUCUCAUCGAUAACUAAACAUCAGUCUCUAGGUUCAACGGCGAGCGUUAAAUAUCCAUGGGAAAAUAACGAAAACGGUUUCAAUUACGAGGAGCCGAUAUCUUCAAAGGAAUUGUUCAUUACAGGCUCUUGCAGUAGAGAGCUGUCGCCAGUGCGAUGGUGUGAUAGGGAAGUUGAUGGGGUAUUUUUGGGAAGGUCUGGUUGGGUCCAGGUCCAGCAAAGGUCAUUGGAUGAUUGUCGAAAAAGCAAUUACAAGAAGUCAUCAAUUUCGGGGUCGCUCCAGCAACAUCAACAACAACAACAACAACGGAAAGGCAUUGUCAAGUUAGCAGAUUACCAUUGCAACAGCGAGCCUGGUAAACUUUGUCAGGAAUCGAACAAUCCCGAGAAACAAAGACCUGCAUAUUUGCCGAUCAAAGUGCAACGCACAAAAAAAUCAAUCGAAAGAAGCCCUUCACCACCUCCUCCACCUUCACCACCAUGUGUUCAAGAUUCUUCACCUCCGUCUAUCACGCCAAUUAUUUCACCGCCUCCUGCGUUUCAGGACAAAAAGGAGAAAUCUAGAGCAUUCUUCACUAAAGCGCCAUUCCUACCCAGAUACAACGCCAUCGAUAGAGACGUGCUGAGUCCACCUGAAUCGCCUCUCGUUACUAAACCACCAGCGCCUCAAUUCCGAAAAUUGAAGACGUCUGGUAAAGAUGUUCCAAAAUCGAGAAUGCCUCAAACUAAGUCUUUGGAAGACACUAGCGCCUGUAGAAGAACAAAUUUUGUUCAAAAGUACGGUUCGUCUUCAUCAUCGUCUUCUUCCAUGGGUUUCCGUAGUUUAGAUAGUUGUUUAAAUAGACCUUCAAUGCCUAAACUAAAAGAACAAAAUUCUUUUGAUACCAACGAAGAUGCGGACGAAGAAGAUAAUAACAGUUCGUCGGCAAACUUUAAUUUGAACGCACUCUCGCCUUUUCCAAUGCAUUCUUCAAACGAAUCGGUUCAGAGUCGUUCAAAUAAAUCUUCGACCAGUAGAUCAUCUAGAUCGUCGCAUCACAGACCUCAAUUGAAAAGAUCUCCUGUCUCUUCCGAUACUGCCAAACAACCAUCUUCUAGAAGUUCUUCCUCUAGUAGUGUAGAGACCAGACGUAAAUCGCCUUCUAGUUCCUCGAAUCAGUCAAAACGCUCAACCAGCUCUCGUCAGAAUAACACUGGUUCAGUUGACGACACGAAGGUUCGGAGAUCCAGAAGUCUACAGCUUCCUGACAAAACGAGCAGCAACAAUAACCGAAGUCCUGACAAACAAACCCAUUCCCGAAUUUCUCCGGCAAAAGAUGAGCGCCCACAACUUUAUAGAAAACAUACAAAUUCAACUGAGAAACUGAGAAAACACGGCCACUCUUCCAGUAAAUCUUUGGAAGUUGGUGCCGCUUCGGAAAGGGAUCUCCUUUAUGAGGCUGAGAUAGUUACCGACUUCGUAGCGGCGUCCAGAAGCAAAGCUGCUGCACAAGCCCUUGUGUGGCAGAAGUAUGCGAAGAAUAAAGACGAUCGUUUUCGAGAAAAUUUACCAAAAAGAAAUACCAACAGUUUUGAGGUUUAUUACGUCGGAAGAAAUGGUCGUGAACGAAGAAAAAUUCUAGAACGAGGUGUUACUACUCCCAGUACCAGCAGAGAGGCCUACGCUCCGACGUACAAAAUGAGUGAAGAAAUAGUUCAAUGUCCACAAUCAUGUAAUUUUUGGCCUCACUGUGCCCAUCGAGAAAAUUGGAAAGUCAAACAGCAAAUGCGCGCUUCUCAAAGUUAUCCCCUGCAUCAGCACUCGCUCGGUAGAAGUCCGGACAAAAACAGUUCCACCUCGAGUUUGAUGGAGCAGAUAAGUCAGGAUAUCCCGGACACGCGAGUGACCCACGAUACCCUGAGAUCAUUCUACAGGAAUUACCCUAGAAGGAGCAGUAAAGUGAUUAACGACAGAAGUCCCGAAAUCGUUUAUAACGGUCGUCGUAGAAAUCUUUGCAGAAUUAGUCCUAAUAGUUUGGACGAGCGGGUCCGAGACUACUCGGAGGAGCACAUUUACGAGAAAAUAUCGCCGCGUAUUUCACCUUCGACCUCGAAAAGUCGGUCACCGUCGGGCGGGCGCGGUUCUAGUGGUUCGUCGUCGAAUAGUGACAUAUGGGCGACACCUAGUGACCGCACGUAUAGUAAAAGUCCUAAAACUGGUAAAGGCUCGAGCGGUUCUACGCCAUUGGAUAAUUUGUGCGUGAAAGACUAUCACGAUUUAUCGCGUCCUGGUAGUGCUCCAACUGAGGACAACUACUCCUGCUUUGAAGUUGAUCAGAGAUCGAUGUCGUUACCCAAAUCCUUUCUAUCUGCCAGCUACCAGCAAGGUGAAACCACUUUAACAGAUGGUCCACGAAAAGGAACUGAAAGUGUUAGGUCGUCUCCGGGAAUCCACAGACGUCAACUAACUCCGGAAGUUUCGCACACCGCUCCGGUGACGCCUCUCCACGAGAACAACCGCAAAUCGUCCUUAGGGGAAUCAGGAAGAACAAAGGCAACAUCUACUCCCCAUCUUCUGGAUCCCUCGAGUAAGGAUAUCAGGAAUUCAAAAGAGAACUGCGAGAGCUAUGAAUUCCUGAUUCCGCCUUCCAAUGUUAGCAAAAGGAAGGACUUCAUCUCCCAAAGAAGUUUACCAGGUGCCGAAAGUGUCUUGAAGAAGUUCCGCAAGACGUUUUCUCUCCGUUUCCAGAAAAAGGGAAGUAAAGAUAAUUGCAGUUCGGAACAUGGAUCGGAGGUCCUUGGCGAUCCUUCCGAAGAAGAAUCACCGCAACAUAUUCCUCUUCAUCCUUCAAGUUUCGAAGAAACAAAAGAUGAUAACUACGAACAUAAUAAACACAAAUUUGGUUCCUUGGUCUGGCGUUCCAGCAAAGACCGCAAAAAAACCAACAAGGCUGCAAGAAACGUCAAGUGCAACAGCGGAGACAGCGGCAUUCAAAUAGAGUUGGUGGGUGGCGGAUGUGGGGGUGCAGGUGGCGAUAGUUCAGAGUCCCAUGCCGGCGACACGGACCCCGGAGGAGCAGGUGAUGACAACGAAAGUCCCCCGACAGUUCGUCGAAGGGCGCCAGCAUCUGACUGUGGCAGUGGCGAACAUCUCAAAGUGGUCCAGUCCAGACCUCACUCGGAGCUUCUCAACCAGGUGCUCAUCGACAAAUUCAAGGCUGAACUUCAAUCAAGAGCUCACAGACAUCGGCAUGUACGAAGAACGCAUUCAGAUUUAGGAGGUCAAAGGUUAUUUCAGUGGGAUCCCAGGUCAUCGUAUCGUCGGCUAAUGUCGUCUCCAAAUCCCCUUAGAAAAAGGCCGUUGAGGAUGAGUCCCUCCAAGAAGCCUCCCGACGCUCCAGACGGUGUUCAGUUACGAAGUUACCAUCAUCGAAGUCAACUUAGACGAUCUCUUAGUCAACCCGUAGAUAUCGACAAAUUAUCGCCACUUAUGAGAACAAAGACUGCAGGAUUAAGGUUGGCUGGAGCUGGCGUCUUUAGUGAAGACGAACAAGAUUGCAGAUUGGGAACGUCUGAAGACGAGAUGUUAUCCGAUUCCGAAUCUUCUUUAAAUUCUCUCCACGAACGUAAAAAGUCUUUAGAAUUAGCGAUGGAUGAGAAUGUCGUCAUUUUGGCCGAAGCUGUGUUCGAUCACGUCGCCAUUGAAUCCGAGGAACUGGCAUUUAGAGCUGGAGAUGUUAUCGAAGUUCUUGAAACGGUUAAUAGGGAUUGGUGGUGGGGUAGUGCCAACGGAAAAGAAGGCUGGUUUCCUGCAGCAUUCGUCCGUCUUCGUGUCAGCCAGGAAGACACCGUCGAAGAUUGUCUUGCAGCAAUGGUUUCUGGCCGAUCUGUGCCGUCUAGUGUUAAGCGUAGGACUAGUGUGUCCCUUUUAUCCAACGAUCAGGUUAGGACUAGUGUUGUUCGUGAGUUAGUGCAUACGGAACGGGAUUUCGUAAAGGUCCUUCAGGACGUGGUGGAAGGCUAUAUCGCGGAAUGUCGCAAACGCAAAGACAUGUUCACCAAAGAUCAGAUAGACACCAUUUUCAGUAAUCUAGAAGAGAUUCUCAAGUUUCAAACGGGAUUCCUCAAGGACUUGGAAUCGUGUAUAGACUGGGAGAAUCCAUACAAGAGCUGCGUUGGAAAAUGUUUUAUAAAGCACAAAGCAGGUUUCGAAAUGUAUUCGGAUUACUGUAACAGUCAUCCCCUAGCGUCCGCCACGUUGCAGGAACUGUGCCAAUUUAACAGUUACAGUAAAUUUUUUGAAGCUUGUCGACUUAUGCGUGGACUGAUAGAAAUUCCUUUAGACGGAUACCUGCUCACUCCCGUUCAAAGGAUUUGCAAGUAUCCUUUGCAGCUUGCCGAGUUACUAAAAUACACUAGGGGAGACCAUCCGGAUUAUAGCGACAUAAGUGAAGCACUCGACACCAUGAGGAGUGUUGCAGUACUGAUAAAUGAAAGAAAGAGGAGGAUGGAAAGCUUGGAGAAAAUUGCAGCGUGGCAGCAGAGAGUCGAAGCAUGGGAGGGUGAAGAUUUGAUAGAAGGCAGUUCACAAUUAAUACACCAAGGAGAAGUUGUUAGAGUCACCACUGGAAUGUGGACCAGCAACAUCACCUUAUUCCUCUUUGAUCAUCAACUGGUGUAUUGCAAAAAGGACAUUUUGAAGAGAAACACCUUUGUCUACAAAGGGCGUAUAGAUUUAGACACCAGUGAAGUUAUCGACGUUCCGGAUGGCAAAGACGUACAGAUUGGCGUGACCGUUAGGCAUAGCAUCAGAAUUCACAGCUGCAUCCGCGACAAGUGGUUGAUGUUUUGUUGUCGUUCGGCGGCCGAAAAACAGCAGUGGUUGAAAGCUUUUGCCAAAGAGCGUAGAUUUGUGGCGCAAGACAAAUCUGAAGGGCUAGAACUCCAUUCGACAGCUAAACAACUCGCCAAGGCAGCUGCGCGAUCUCAACGAAGGCCUCCGAGGAAACCCAGAGGUAGCAAGAAUUCGGCCUACAUGGGCUCUGCACUUCAAAUUUCCGCACAAAAUUCGAAUAACGCUUAUUCCUUGAGCCGGAAAGUGGGGACGUGGUUCACUUUUGGAGUAAACCGGAAAAUACGUUACCAACAGAGGGACGUUUCCUGAGAUAAGACAACCUUGCUGUAGCCCGUAUGCAUGUAAGUUAACGUUUUGAAGUUCCUUAUUAAUAACAUAUCGGCUGCAGCAAUAAUAACUCUUCAGAGCGAAGUCAAAAAUUGACUUUGAGAUAAAGUAACUCAUUGUUGAUUUUCUAUCAAAAGUAGUGAUUAAAACUCUCACACACUUUCGAAUAAUGAUUUUUAGUCUGUUUGGAAUCAAAGCACCAAGGGGUGAUGAUUUUUAUCUUGUAACAUGUGAUUUUACAAAGUGAUAUUAUGAUGGUCUCGUUUUGAAUUUAAUUUUAAUUUUAUUAUACCAUUUUUGACAACGCUCUGAAAGUUACAACUGUGUUGUUCGUAAAUUUUUGUUAGUGAUAUUGGCUACUGCCGUAUGUGAUGUUACUUAGAAUUUAAGAAAAAAAUUAGUUGAAAGGUCUAAUUUUUCUCUCGUAGUUCCGUAUGCGCUCAUUUCCUUCUCUCAAUUGUCAUACGUAUUGUAUCAGAACGCACAAUGAUGUUAAAUAAAUAAAAAUCGCAUUUGAGAACAGCACAGGGUAUUUUGGGUCUAUUGAACAACUUAGGCAAAAUUUUAGGACCAACAAAUGCAAAAUACUUCACUCAUUUAUCUUGUCUGCUAAAAGCAAUACUUAAUAAUGGCUUUGAAUGUAAUUACUUGUAUAUUUCACAUUUUUCGAAAUUUACAGGUACCGUAAAUUAUCUAAAGCAAUAGUAGUUUUUGUUUAUAUAGGUACCAACUUUAUAUAAACUUUCAACUAAUUUCCUUGACCGUUGUAGAUGAUUUCUUUGUGGUUUUUAUUGAUUAUUCCAAAUUUUUUGGAGUAAUUAUAAAGACUUAGUGGUUAGCAGAAUUUGUGUUCCAUUUUUUUAUAUGUUUACACACAGAGCAAUCCAUUGGGCUGGAGGGCAUAGUUAUUUUCCUAUCUCUUUUGGCCCUCCACGACUUACAACAAUUAAUUUUAAUACCUGUUACCUAUUUUUAUUCACAAUAAUUUCAUCCAUUUUCUUUUUCGUUUUUGUUCAAAAUUACCAUUUAAAAAUCUUAAUCCCUGUCUUUAUCCCCAUAGUUUCUCAAAACUUUGCUCUUUUGAACGUCCCAUUACAUUUUCCUAUCAAUUUAGUUUUCCUCAACCACAUCCAGUAUUCUUCCUUCAUUAUUCAUUACCCCAAAAGCCCCCAGGUAACAGCUUUUCUAUUUUAUUACUGGUCCCACUCUUUUUGGGGAAUCAUUAAAGAUAACACUUUCCAAAACUUCUCGAGAGUAGUUCAUUUAACUUACGUCCUGUUUUCCGAUUUCCUCACUUCCUUGAAAGUCCCUUUUCAUUAACAGGAGAGCCCUCUCCAUGUAUCCGGAAACUCAAUAAAUCACUCUGGGUGUAAAAGUGCAACAAAGCGGGAUGCACCAUUGCUUUGUUUAUAUGUUUGCUCAUUUUUAUUUUUUAAAAAAUGCCAAGUACCUCCUCUUGACCGACGUUGCGAGUAGACAGGUCCGGGGGUUGAAUUAUGGGUUUGGAGUGGUUAGGUAAAGGAAACGGAAAUUGAGUAUAUGGUCUGAAGGUUGGAUAAAGGGUCGAUUGUUGGGGACCUGGGGAUUGGAAAGGAAGUGAUGGAUAGAGGAUGACAAGGUGAGAGUGGCAAGGGUUUGAUAGAUUGAGACUGGUAAAGGGUUGAUAAUGGGUUGGAUUUGGAAGAAUAAUGAGAAAUGAAGGGAUUCAAGCUGAAGGUGGAGAUGUAGGAUGACUUUUGGGAUGGGUCUUGGAGUAGCCAUUUCAAUUUUUGGGCCCGAAUUGAGAGAAGUAAUAAGGGGUUAAUAUAGAAGCUGUAAGGGUUCAUGUGAUUUGGAAUUGAAGGUUAGAAAGUAUUUUCGGGAACUCGAAAACGAUGGAACAAUUUAAAAACCAGAAAGUAGGUAAUUGUAGGAUUCAAAUGAAAUAGUUUUUGAAAAUAAUGUGAUGUAUUAGGUAGGCAUAGUGUUCAAAGGGAAUGAAUGAAAUUAUUCAAUGAUUGUUGAGGAACGAUUUUGGAUUUGAGGUGGUUUGAAAGAGAAUUUGUUUUCUAGUUUGUGCAGCACAAAUAACAUUAGUUAAAUUUGGAAGUUAAGACCUUUUUCUUUUGAUUUCAGCCGCAAUUUCCCUACGUCAUAGUUGAUUUACUAGUUCUACGCCGCGAUUGUUUAUAGUUAAAAUUACUAUUGUUAUUUAUCCUAUUAACUAUGUUUUCUAAGAAAAUGUUUUUGUUAUGGUUAAAUUAAUGAAAGAUAUUGUGGAAGUUUGUUUAAAAUGUACAAAUGUUAAUAAACGAUUAAAUGAAAAUUUGAAAGUUGGCAUUGUUAUUAUUUAAUCCAUUCUGCCUUUUAGAAUAAUCUAAAAGUUAAAAGUUUUCAUAAUCUUCAUAAUCCAUUAUGAUGGAAGAUGUUUUUGUGCUACACAAAACUAGUAAAAGAAGACAGGGAUGGUAAUAUCACCCCCGGACCUUGAAAUUGAAGAUGCACCCGCUCUAUGGUAGUAAAAUAUUUCCCCUGUUCGGUCUUGUUUUUAUUGAACUAGCGCCAGCAAUUGAAAUGUUGAUAGGAAGCAAUUUAUGGGAUUAUUCCUGUAAAAUAAAAUCAAUUAAUGCCAAUGAUGUAGCUCAUAAGUAGUUGUAAUUAUUUAAAAUGUUUCGUUUAAAUUAUAUUUUUGUAAGCUUUUCAUCACGUCUGUGUAUAUUUAAUGUAAAACACUUGUUAAAUGAUAAUAUUAAUCUGUUGUAGUUUUUAUUGCCAAACUGACUUGUUGAUAAUACUGAUCUUUUUUGAUUUCGCGACAACGUUGUAUCAUCGGUUUUGUGAGUCGCGACAAUAAAUUUUUAA